rnacentral:rRNA from 1 species
UUGAACGCUGGCGGAAUGCUUUACACAUGCAAGUCGAGCGGCAGCGCGGGGCAACCUGGCGGCGAGCGGCGGACGGGUGAGUAAUACAUCGGAACGUACCCAGUCGUGGGGGAUAACCUACCGAAAGGUAGGCUAAUACCGCAUACGACCUGCGGGUGAAAGCGGGGGAUCGCAAGACCUCGCGCGAUUGGAGCGGCCGAUGUCGGAUUAGCUAGUUGGUGGGGUAAAGGCCCACCAAGGCGACGAUCCGUAGCUGGUCUGAGAGGAUGAUCAGCCACACUGGGACUGAGACACGGCCCAGACUCCUACGGGAGGCAGCAGUGGGGAAUUUUGGACAAUGGGGGAAACCCUGAUCCAGCCAUUCCGCGUGAGUGAAGAAGGCCUUCGGGUUGUAAAGCGCUUUCAGACGGAAAGAAAUCGGGCGCGUGAAUAGCGUGCCUGGAUGACGGUACUGUCAGAAGAAGCACCGGCUAACUACGU